AUCCCGCGCAUGUCCGGGUUAUGACAUGUACCUCCCUGUUGGACUGGGCCGGGCCUUGCGCCCGGUCUUUUUU
rnacentral:ncRNA from 1 species